rnacentral:rRNA from 1 species
CUAGUAUAGCAUCUAUACGGUGAAACUGCGAAUGGCUCAUUAAAUCAGUUAUCGUUUAUUUGAUAGUACCUUACUACAUGGAUAACCGUGGUAAUUCUAGAGCUAAUACAUGCUAAAAACCCCGACUUCGGAAGGGGUGUAUUUAUUAGAUAAAAAACCGAUGCCCUUCGGGGCUCCUUGGUGAUUCAUAAUAACUUAACGAAUCGCAUGGCCUUGCGCCGGCGAUGGUUCAUUCAAAUUUCUGCCCUAUCAACUUUCGAUGGUAGGAUAGUGGCCUACCAUGGUUUCAACGGGUAACGGGGAAUUAGGGUUCUAUUCCGGAGAGGGAGCCUGAGAAACGGCUACCACAUCCAAGGAAGGCAGCAGGCGCGCAAAUUACCCAAUCCCGACACGGGGAGGUAGUGACAAUAAAUACUGAUACAGGGCUCUUUUGGGUCUUGUAAUUGGAAUGAGUACAAUUUAAAUCCCUUAACGAGGAACAAUUGGAGGGCAAGUCUGGUGCCAGCAGCCGCGGUAAUUCCAGCUCCAAUAGCGUAUAUUAAAGUUGUUGCAGUUAAAAAGCUCGUAGUUGAACCUUGGGCCUGGCUGGCCGGUCCGCCUCACCGCGUGCACUGGUCCGGCCGGGCCUUUCCUCCUGGGGAGCCGCAUGCCCUUCACUGGGUGUGUCGGGGAACCAGGACUUUUACUUUGAAAAAAUUAGAGUGUUCAAAGCAGGCCUAUGCUCGAAUACAUUAGCAUGGAAUAAUAGAAUAGGACGUGUGGUUCUAUUUUGUUGGUUUCUAGGACCGCCGUAAUGAUUAAUAGGGAUAGUCGGGGGCAUCAGUAUUCAAUUGUCAGAGGUGAAAUUCUUGGAUUUAUUGAAGACUAACUACUGCGAAAGCAUUUGCCAAGGAUGUUUUCAUUAAUCAGUGAACGAAAGUUAGGGAUCGAGACGAUCAGAU